rnacentral:rRNA from 1 species
UACGGAGGGUGCGAGCGUUGUCCGGAAUCACUGGGCGUAAAGGGCGCGUAGGUGGCGCAGGAAGCCAACGGUGAAAGUUCGGGGCUCAACCCUGAAUCGGCCGUCGAUACUCCUGGGCUCGAGCACUGUAGAGGCAGAUGGAAUUCCGGGUGUAGCGGUGGAAUGCGUAGAGAUCCGGAAGAACACCGGUGGCGAAGGCGAGUCCCUGGACAGGUCCUGACGCUGAGGCACGAAAGCGUGGGGAGCAAACAGG